rnacentral:tRNA from 1 species
AGAGACUUAGGUUAACGUUAUAGACCUGGAGCCUUCAAAGCUCCGAGCGGAGGUGGGAGCCCUCUAGACUCUG